CCUACGGGUGGCAGCAGUGAGGAAUAUUGGUCAAUGGCCGUAAGGCUGAACCAGCCAAGCCGCGUGAAGGAAGAAGGUUCUAUGCAUUGUAAACUUCUUUUGUCAAGGGAUAAACUCAUCCACGAGUGCCUGAUUGAGUGUACUUUAUGAAUAAGCAUCGGCUAACUCCGUGCCAGCAGCCGCGGUAAUACGGAGGAUGCGAGCGUUAUCCGGAUUUAUUGGGUUUAAAGGGUGCGUAGGCGGGUUGUUAAGUCAGCGGUGAAAGUCCGGGGCUCAACCCCGGAAGUGCCUUUGAAACUGGUAGACUUGAGAGUAUGUGAGGUAGGCGGAAUGCGUGGUGUAGCGGUGAAAUGCUUAGAUAUCACGCAGAACUCCGAUUGCGAAGGCAGCUUACCAAACGAUAUCUGACGCUGAGGCACGAAAGCGUGGGUAUCAAACAGGAUUAGAUACCCUUGUAGUC
rnacentral:rRNA from 1 species